AACGAACGCUGGCGGCAGGCCUAACACAUGCAAGUCGAGCGCGCCCUUCGGGGUGAGCGGCGGACGGGGGAGUAACGCGUGGGAAUGUGCCCUUUUCUACGGAAUAGCCUCGGGAAACUGAGAGUAAUACCGUAUACGCCCUUUGGGGGAAAGAUUUAUCGGGAAAGGAUCGGCCCGCGUUGGAUUAGGUAGUUGGUGGGGUAAUGGCCUACCAAGCCGACGAUCCAUAGCUGGUUUGAGAGGAUGAUCAGCCACACUGGGACUGAGACACGGCCCAGACUCCUACGGGAGGCAGCAGUGGGGAAUCUUAGACAAUGGGGGCAACCCUGAUCUAGCCAUGCCGCGGGAGUGAUGAAGGCCUUAGGGUUGUAAAGCUCUUUCAGCUGGGAAGAUAAUGACGGUACCAGCAGAAGAAGCCCCGGCUAACUCCGUG
rnacentral:rRNA from 1 species